ACCGCAAAUUUGGUUCGAAUUUGGUUUUGGUUUACCUUGUUGCAGAAACUAAUUUUUCACAUUUACAAAUUCUUUGUGGCCUUAUCUAUCCGUCUGGGAGGUUUUGGAAUUUCAGAACGAACCAUGGACUGCAAAAGCGAGGAAAAUAAGUGACAGACAACAUUACUUUUGUAGAUGUAAUUCAUCUGUUCUCGAGUUGUAAAAUGCCCACACGUGGAAUCCGAGCCCGUGCAUGCACUACACGUGCGCAUUUCCAUUAAUGAUCUCUUGCACGUCUGCUACACAGAGGCUGUGACUGGUACCCAGCUUUCACCCGCAUGCUGUCAAGCAUACAAAAUAUAUAUACAAAAACUGCAGUUCCAUUUAUGUCAGAUCAGAGGCUUCAAAUUGACCCAUUAACCCCCUACUGGUUACCCCUAAAAUGUUCAUAUUUUGUUCUGCUGUAUAUUUCGGUUAUAAACAUAAAUUUGCGACACAACCUGCUAUUUUAUAAGAAUAACCUUGAUUAACGUAGAAGGCUUUGUAUAUGCAGGGUUCUUGUGUGGGAAUGAGUUCAUCAACGAUCUCUCUUUGAAGUGCUUAACAUGUUUAAUUUGUUCAUAGAGUUUUAUUGGUUAAAGAUGUAUAUAUACACAACAUCGUAGAGAUCUGAUUUUUAUUAAAAAGAAACAGUAACUUAUCUUGAAAAUUGAGGAAUAAAAAAAGAGGAUUACAUUGCAGGCAUGAUGAUUGUGAUGAACAAGUGAUAGCAAUGCUAGUCUGAUCAAGAACACAUUAUGCAGAAGUAGUACACUAGCGUGCGCAUGUGCGGUAAGUUGAUCGGCCUUUCCUUUUUCUUAUUCGUAAACUAAACAUACAAUAAGCAGACUGAAUUGGUAAUUGGAAGUGACAAGUUGGAAUUUAGAGCAACAGACAGAUAGCUAGACUGUGUGGAAGGUUUUAAAAAUCAAUCUCCAUCAGUAUUCAGUAUAACUUUUAAAAUGGGACAAAUCAACAGAUAUGAGUAAUUUGCUAGCAACAGAAAUGUGCCAAAGCCUUGCUGGAUAAUACCCUCUCCCCUCGACCGUACGGAACUGCUGGGAGUCCCUUAAUUAAUCGAAUUUUGUGAACACCUUUUGUCUGUAUUUUAAGUCCACCUGUUAACACAAAAUACAUGCUCAAAAAUGGCCAGGAUUUGUACAAAUCAUGAAUUUUAACUUUCCUGUACUGGCCAUAGACUUAGGAGACUCAGCUUGCGUGCAGGUAACUAGGCCAACUAUCAUCAACACACGCCACUGCCUCUCCCCUGGCCCAAUGUUGCGUGUUGCAAUGGUAAUUGUGGUUGAGAACCCUGUUGUGUGUUAUGUGCUUUAUGUAAGCCUGGAAACCAGUGGAUUUGGUUAGACUUCAGUUUCACUGGUUCCAGUCAGAACAUGUAGUUUCGAUGUGUGUGUAUGCAGCUUGGAAUUUCAUACGCCGAAUAGUUGUGCAUGCACACUGUACAAACUGCACUGGAGAACGGCUGAAAACAGUCCACGGCAAUUGCAAGAAUUAAAGUUACAUCCGAUUUUAUUUUUCCCGUUUUUGUCUUUGAUAGUGAUGUGUCAAAUUUCUUAACCCACCAGACGUGGAGAUAAGGACGCAUAGGAGAUACAGAUGAGAAAUUGGCUCCUUGGAAAAGGAUCUUCAGCAGGUGUGGCUGCUUUCCCUUGGCUGGAAAACUGUAAAUAUUACUCCUGUCUUUAAAUCAGAUCUUGUGUUACUCAAGAACUAAAUGUCUACCAUACAUGGGCUACACAGCUUGAUCAGCAUAACCCACCUAGAAUUGAUGCAGUUUUUCAAGACACGACCAAAGACUUUGACCACAUGCCCCAUGACACACUUCUCCAGACUACAGAGAGUGACUUUUGUAGGACGAACCUUGGAGUGGUCUUUGGUGAAGUCUGGUGUUCCACAGAGAAGUGUAUUGGGGCCCCUACUUUUUAACCUUCUUGUUAAUGACAUUUCCGACAACAUUAGUUCCCCUUGUGUAUUUUUUUGCAGAUGACAACCAUUCCAUUACUACAAAUUUGGAUGUCUCUGAACUGAGUGCUUGGAGUGCCUCUAAUUGUAUGACCUUUAACACAUCUAAAACUAAAAUUAUACACAUUUCCCGCAAACAGACUCAUUUCUUACAGCUUACAUUCUUUAAGGCACUUCUCUCACAGCAUCAAACAAGGUCAAACAUCUUGGCGUCACUCUAAGCGCUCAGCUCUCAUGGAGAGCUGUUAGUUCAUCAGCCAAUUGCAUGCCGGGUUUCAUCAAAACUGUGGCUUUUAAUGCCUCUGCAUGUGCUAAAAUAUCCCUCUAUAAGGCCCUUGUUCUUCCCAUCUUAGAGUAUGGACUUCCUGCUUUGGCUGCCUCAAAGAAGCAUGAUAUUCUAGAAAACAUUCAGCAACAUGCUACUUGAUUCAUUUUAGGUCAGAAACGCGGAGUAAUGCCUUACACGGAUAGACUGCAGAUUCUUAACUGGUUGACCCUAUCAAAUCGCUGCAACUUUGCAGUGUUGUACCUUGUCUGAAAACAUUUUCUUAGUCUUGUUAAAUGUGAAAUGUGUCUUAGUAAGGUUAAUGUGAAUUCCAAACAUACCAAUAUUGUUAGUUUUAAUCAUCUCCAGGCUAGAACACAAUCUGUUCAUUCAUCCUGUUUUCAUCAGUUUCCCCGGUUGUGGUCUCAUGUCCCUGAACAUGUUUGUAACACUCUAAUUUUGCAACCCUUUUCACGGUUCCUGGCAUUAUGGAAAAACACUGUCCUUCAACCUGAUUCUUAGGCUUUAUUGCAUUCAUCGCUCUUCCAUGCAUGUCCUUGCCAUAGUGAUUCACCCUUUGUUGUUUCCGCCUUAUGUUUGGUAACUCUGGUUAUGUCAGUGCAAUCAUUCAUUCUUUAUUUUUAAUUGUACAAAUACGCCAUCUCAUGUAUUUAUUUAUUGUUUUUUAUGUCCUGGAUGGACCUUUAAUUCUAUUUUAAUAUGUAAUUAAUGGAGUAUUAUAAUUUUAUUCUUGGAUGUAUUUAUCGUUGUUUAAUUUUUACAAAGUGUCAAAGUGUAUUUAAUACAUGUAUGUGUACUUUUCAUAUUUAUAUGUUCACAUGUUCAGUGUUUUUAUAUAUGUAUUUACUUAUUUUGACUUGAUGUGGGAAACAGGCCUGUGACCACAGUAAUUUUUAAUUGUUUUUGUCUCUCUUAUGCCCAUCUUGUUUGUAAUGUUAUUAUUAGCAUGAAUAAAUAAU